GCAGUUUACAUGUCAAAGUGUCCUUGGGCAAGAUAAUGAACCCCAAAUUGCUUCUAAAGGCUGUGCCAUCAGUGUAAUGAACGUGCAUGUGAAUG